rnacentral:tRNA from 1 species
GGACUGUGGUUUAGUGGAGGAGCACUCGUCUAGCACGCGCGGGGCCCUGGGUUCGAUCCUCAGCACCA